GAUCAUGGCUCAGGACGAACGCUGGCGGCGUGCCUAACACAUGCAAGUCGAACGGAAGCAAAGAUUUCGGUUUUUGCUUUAGUGGCGAACGGGUGAGUAACGCGUGAGGAACCUGCCUUUCAGUGGGGGACAACAGUUGGAAACGACUGCUAAUACCGCAUAAUGCUUUUGAGUGGCAUCACUUAAAAGCCAAAGAUUUAUUGCUGAAAGAUGGCCUCGCGUCUGAUUAGCUAGUUGGUGGGGUAA
rnacentral:rRNA from 1 species